GGGGCUUAUAAAGGGGAAGAUAGUAGGGGCGGGGCUUAUAGCUAUGCGGAGCCAGGCAGAGAUGUGAGGGUGAGUGGUGGCCAAAGGAAUGCUGGGAACUCUGAGCAGGAGGUGGAAGGAACGGAGUGGCUGAGAGGGCCCCCAGCCAGGGAGGGGCCCUCAGCGAGGGGGGGGCCCACCACUGUGAAUGAGCUUCCAGAAACAUUCAGGCGCUUCCUGUCUGGAGCUGGAGAGAAAAGAAGAGUCAGUCGGUUUUCCCAGGACACAGAGCCGAGCAGGUUGGAGCAGUACCCAACACCGAGCAGGGAGGCAGGACUGGACCCAAAGAAGCUGAAACUGGAUCUUCUGAACUUUGGAAAGGUGGAUUUCCAGGGGAUGGUUUCUGAAAGCGGCGAUGUGCUGGAUGACCUGAGGAACAUCGACAUCGGAAGUGUGGAAGAAGCCAACUUCAUCAAAGAAAAACUGUGUAAUCUGCUGAGAGAGUUUCAAGCCAACAAAUCUCAAAGGGAAAGGGCUGGGAGGAAAAGCCCAUCGGGUUUUUACAGAGAUUAUAAUCACCUGAGCUCCCAGCAACAAGGACCUUCAACCGACCACAGUCAUGUGAUCACAGCCUUCCAAGAUCCACAAGAUCACUAUGAAAGGGAUAGAAAGGAUUCACAAGAUCACUUUGAAAGCGGUCAGAGAGAUCAACAAGAUUACCUUGGAAGAGGUCAGAGAGAUUCACAAGAUCGCUUUGAAAAAGGUCGGAGAGAUUCACAAGAUAACUUUGAAAGGGGUCAGAGAGAUCAACAAGAUCACCUUGAAAGAGGUCAGAGAGAUUCACAAGAUCGCUUUGAAAAAGGUUGGAGAGAUUCACAAGAUCACUUUGAAAGAGGUCGGAAAGAUUCACAAGAUCGCUUUGAAAGAGGUCAAAGAGAUUCACAAGAUCACUUUGAAAGGGGUCAGAGAGAUCAACAAGAUCACCUUGGAAGAGGUCGGAGAGAUUCACAGGAUCACUUUGAAAGGGGUCAGAGAGGUCAACAAGAUCACCUUGGAAGAGGUCAGAGAGAUUCACAAGACCGCUAUGAGGAACAUGGAAGAGGCCGAAAAGAUCACUAUGAUUCUGUACGAUCACGUGAGAGAUCAGAUCCCAGAGCUACACAUCGAGAUUCAUAUGAAGAUGUUUUUGGAAAGGCCGCUCCUGAUACCAAAAGAAGUCCUGUUCGACGUGGCAUGCAUAAUUACCCACAAUCCUCCUCUCUCCCAGAUGUAUGGUCACCCAAGCAGAGGCUAGACAGGAUGCAGCCCACUACGGAGUUUGACCCCCGCCUGCCCCUUCCCCCAACCCCCCUGCAGCGGGGUCAUAGCGGCCCCGAAAACUCAGCCUCCCUGGAAAAGAUCACCUCUACCCUCCUGCAGAUGGUGGCCCGCAAUCGCCCUUUCUGACUUGCCCUUCGCCGCCACCUGCUGGUCAGCUGAGGCAGUGCAGCUAAACGUAGUCUCGUGUGAAUGACGAACAUGGUGUCAAAUUGGGUUUCAAAUUUUUAUAGUUCAGAGGUUUGACUUGCUCGGUUUUUCCAGACACUAAGUAGAUAUGUUGUGGGGCAGCCAUGGCAGCGGUUAUGCUGUUAAAUUGUGCUGGUGGUGGGACUGCUUCAGCCUGUACAGAAAUCAGCCGUGAGUUUACCUGCCUCCUCCUCCUCCUCUCUUCCCUGUCCCGUUCAGUAUACAGCGCUCAACAUGUCAGAAGCUCUUCAUUUUCCCCUAUUUCUGAUUGUAUUCAGGCCAGUUAUUACCAUUUUUUUUUUUUUUUUUUUUACCAGUUAUGCUCAUUUUGUCUAGUGUUCAUUAAAAUGCUGUUCUUGGAACCAAGCAAAUUUAUCUUUA